GGGAUGCUAGCUCAGUUGGUUCAGAGCGCUGCCUUCACACGGCAGAGGUCACUGGUUCGAAUCCAGUGCAUCCCACCA
rnacentral:tRNA from 1 species